UGGCUCUCGCAUCGAUGAAGAACGCAGCGAAAUGCGAUAAGUAAUGUGAAUUGCAGAAUUCAGUGAAUCAUCGAAUCUUUGAACGCAACUUGCGCCCUCUGGUAUUCUGGAGGGCAUGCCCGUUUGAGUGUCAUGUGGAAUCAACCCUCCGGGUUUCCGGAGAGGUUGGAAUUGGGUGUUGCCUUACUGGCUCACCUCAAAUGCCUGAGUGGGGACUGGCCCAGCCGGGAGUAAUAAGUUUCUCUCUUCUGUGUGUCAUGUGGACCGCUUACAACCUCAUCUUUUUGACUCUGACCUCAAAUCGGGUAGGGCUACCCGCUGA
rnacentral:misc_RNA from 1 species